CCCCAGUCAAGCUACCAUACAGUCGAGCGGAUGACGGGAGCUUGCUCCUUGAUUAGCGGCGGACGGGUGAGUAAUGCCUAGGAAUCUGCCUGGUAGUGGGGGACAACGUUUCGAAAGGAACGCUAAUACCGCAUACGUCCUACGGGAGAAAGCAGGGGACCUUCGGGCCUUGCGCUAUCAGAUGAGCCUAGGUCGGAUUAGCUAGUUGGUGGGGUAAUGGCUCACCAAGGCGACGAUCCGUAACUGGUCUGAGAGGAUGAUCAGUCACACUGGAACUGAGACACGGUCCAGACUCCUACGGGAGGCAGCAGUGGGGAAUAUUGGACAAUGGGCGAAAGCCUGAUCCAGCCAUGCCGCGUGUGUGAAGAAGGUCUUCGGAUUGUAAAGCACUUUAAGUUGGGAGGAAGGGCAGUAAGCUAAUACCUUGCUGUUUUGACGUUACCGACAGAAUAAGCACCGGCUAACUCUGUGCCAGCAGCCGCGGUAAUACAGAGGGUGCAAGCGUUAAUCGGAAUUACUGGGCGUAAAGCGCGCGUAGGUGGUUCGUUAAGUUGGAUGUGAAAGCCCCGGGCUCAACCUGGGAACUGCAUCCAAAACUGGCGAGCUAGAGUACGGUAGAGGGUGGUGGAAUUUCCUGUGUAGCGGUGAAAUGCGUAGAUAUAGGAAGGAACACCAGUGGCGAAGGCGACCACCUGGACUGAUACUGACACUGAGGUGCGAAAGCGUGGGGAGCAAACAGGAUUAGAUA
rnacentral:rRNA from 1 species